rnacentral:tRNA from 1 species
GGUCCCGUAGCUCAGGUGGUUAGAGCGCGCGGCUGAUAACCGCGAGGUCGGAGGUUCGAAUCCUCCCGGGACCA